rnacentral:rRNA from 1 species
UCUCAAGCGUGAGGUAAGGGCAAUUCGUGGAUGCCUUGGCAUGUACAGGCGAUGAAGGACGUGGCACGCUGCGAUAAGCGUCGGUGAGGUGUGAGCAACCUUUGACCCGACGAUUUCCGAAUGGGGAAACCCACCUAUCCGUUUAAUCUCGAACGUUGUUGAAAGACGGCGAGCGGGGUUAGGUGGUUCAGGUAUCUUGAGACUGAAUCCAUAGGUUUCGAGAAGCGAACCCGGUGAACUGAAACAUCUCAGUAGCCGGAGGAAAAGACAUCAACCGAGAUUCCGUUAGUAGUGGCGAGCGAACGCGGACCAGGCCAGUGCCUGACAUUCAACUAGCAGAACGAUCUGGAAAGUUCGGCCAUAGCGGGUGACAGCCCCGUAUGCGAAAGUGAUGUGUCAGGACUCGAGUAGGGCGGGACACGUGUAAUCCUGUCUGAACAUGGGGGGACCACCCUCCAAGCCUAAAUACUCGUACAUGACCGAUAGCGAACUAGUACCGUGAGGGAAAGGUGAAAAGCACCCCGAU